rnacentral:sRNA from 1 species
GCUGGGCACGGUGGUGCAUGUCUGUAAUCCCAGAGGCUCUGGAGGCUGAGGCAGGAGGAUUAUGAGUUCAAAGCCAGCCUCAGCAAUAUAUCAAGGUGCUAAGCAACUAAGUGAGACCUUGUCUCUA